GCCAAGAGGAAGUAGAUCUCAGCUGUAGAUGAAGAUCUAAAGGUUUUGAUUCCGAUCUGAGAAGUUUGGACCGUUGAUCAAGAUUGAAGAAUCUUGGACCGUCCGAUCAGAGAAGGAGUUGUUUUAAAAGAUGAGAAGCUACAGUGCAAAUGUGAGCUCGGGCUUUUUCUUUCUCUUCGCGAUUUUCUCCACUGUUCAUCUUCUUCCCCGAAGCUCCCAUCAACAUUCAAACCAAGGUUCAAGAUCUGUCAUCACCGGCGGCAUUCGGUCAUUGUUCGAGUAUCAGAUCGCGAGAGAGGGAGGUUCUUUUGCCGUGAUCCUUGCACUUCACUCUCACCAGACGAGCUCAGAUUGGGGGACCUUUUCCGAUCUGAGGGAUUCUAUCAGGCAAUAGAAGUUUCGGAGGAGUUUUUCUGGAGUUUCUGCUUCCAAUUCAUUUCUCAAUUCGCUCGCGACUUCGUAAUCGAUCCGAUCAAUCGAUUGAUGAUCGCGAUUCGUUCGUCUUUCCCUGUUCUUUGGGCAAUGAGCUUUUGAUGAGAUCAUAAGCUUGUAGGGAGGUUUCUACCAGCUGCGCACUUCUUAAUUUUCAACCGUGGAUCUAAAUUAAUCCGGUGAUUGCUCACAGGAGUUUUCGAGAGUUUUUCUGCAAAUUGGCAAAGAGACAAUUUACGAACACUGAUUUGAGUUGUGGAUGUUCCUUCAUCUGGAUUUUAGUUUCGAUUAUUAGAUCUAUUGCUUAGAUUUGUUUUUUCUUUUCGAUUCGACAAAACCCAGAACUAAUUCUGCUCUAUUGGAUUUCAUUUCAGAGUAAUCAGAAAUAAGAGUUAAGGAUUUCAAUUCAUUUCUUAGUUUAAGUUCUGAGUUACUAAAUCUUUUGAUUCAUUAACUUCAUUAAGAUUUGAAUAGUUAAGAAAUUCUGUUUUCUUCAAUUGGAUAUUUCUUGAUUUAGUUUAGCUUCGAGUAAUUAGAUUUAAUUCAUCAACUGUAGUUUAGUCUAGCUUAGUUUAGUUAUUAAAUCUACUUGCUUUGAUAUUUUUCAUGUUAAGUUUGCUUGCCGUAGCUUGAUUUUUUGAAGUUAGCUUUGAAUUGAGUAAAGAAUUAAUUGCUUAGAUUCAAUUUUGUCAAUCAUACAUUUUCUAUUGCAUUGCAUUUGGUCGAAAUAAUUAGUCACUCAAAUUUUCAUAGUGAAAUAACCAAAACAUCAUUUCCAGAAUAAAGCUCAAAAUGAAUAUCACAUUCUAGGCACUCACACAUUUACUAAUUACUCCUUGAAAAAAAAAUACGACUUGGGACUCCUUACUACAAUGCUUGUCCUUAGUUACAAUGAGUUUCAAUCUUAAUUAAUUUGAUGUGCCACGUGACAUGCAAUAUGGUUGACACCAAAUUUUAGCGUCGUUGCCGGGGAACUAACUAGUAGUAUGUGUUUAUUUUAGAUUGCGCAUUGAUUGGUUUAUUUUGUUAGCAUCUUUAUUAAUUUGAUUGCUUAUCUUUUGUAUUUUCAUGUUGGCUUAUUUUGAAUUGUUAAGUUCUUUAAUGUUCAUGUAUUCAUGUGUUUGAAACUUUAUGCUCUUCAGUCUUCUAAUUUUGAGUGUUAGUAUUGCUGUGUAAGAAUAGGAGAUUUCAGUAGCAUGGAUCCAUAUUUUCAGGAUUUUAGAGGUGGAAUGGAGAAUCAGUAUUUUCAGCUUGAGUAUCAAUUUUACCCAACCAUGGAUCAACAAAAGAGGUAUGAGUCAUUUUCUAAUGCUUAUAAUACUAAUUGGGUGGAUCAUUCAUGUUUCAGGUAUGAAAAUGCACAAGGACAAUUUAUUGAGUCAUAUCCAACCUACCAGAAUUCAUAUGAGUUUCAAGAUGUUUCAACAUCUUCGAUGUCACAUUCCUUUCAACAGAACGAUUCUCAAUUUGGAAUGUCAACAUGGAAAUUCAAGGAGGUUAUGCAACAAAUGAGAGAGUAUCAAGAGCAACAAUUCUCAAGGAUACAAAAUAUACAGAACAGUUAGAUAAAAUUGCAUCAUCCAUCAAUCAGUUACAAACACAAAACUCCAGUGGGGAGAUGGAAAGUAGAGAUUAUGUCAGGCCCGACCCUACUUCCAUUACUUCACAAGAUUUUUCUAGUAUAAUUUGUGAUGAUGAUGUAGUUGUUCAGAUUUCUGAUUUUAUUAAUAGUGUUGCUUUAGAUGUUGUGAAUGAUGCAGAAAAUGAAGAUUUACUUGAAGAAAAUUUAAGUGUAGGGGAUUGCUUACUGGAAGCAAUACUCCAAGAAUCACCUGUAUUUGAUGAUGAUGAUGAAGAGAGUGUAGGGACUUGUGCUAUGGAGGCAACGACCCAAGAAUCACUACCUUUGGUUGUACAUUCACCUGAACCAGAGGCUGAGCAAUUACUUGAUGAAAAGGAGGUAACAAUCACCACUCCAGGUACCUUUCAACAUGACAAGGUGAGUAUUAUUUGUGAUACAUCAAAAAAUUUCAUAAAGGUACCAAUUAUUGACUUUAAUAGAUGUGAUUCAUUGCUUAAUAUAUUUUCUACCAACACUAAUAUUCUCCUAUUUUCUUCUUAUCCCUUAUGUGAGUGGGAGGGAUUGUCUUUUAUUGAUGUUUUAGGAGAAUAUAAGCUUCCGAAGUGGAUGCUUAAACUGAACCGUCUUCGACCUCCAGAAAGAAUUUUGAAAUGAAAAAGGAUGAAUAAAAAGGAUUUGAUUGGAACCACAAUCACUCCACUACUAUCAUGGAUUCUUCUUCUAAAUCUUCUCCAACCACCGGGAAUUAAAGGGAAGUUGGUUCCAAUUUCACUUUCUUUUGCAUUUUAAUUCAUGCUUUGUGUUUAGUAUUUUCUUUAAUAAAUUCUUUGUGCUUUAUACAUUUCGUUAGUUUCAUUUUCUUACAUUUGCAUUUUUGUUUCCAUACUUUGCAUUUAGUUUGGUAUACAUAGCAUGCCAUUUGAAUAAAAUUAUCAAUGAAAUUGUUCUAGUAAUAUUUUUAAGAUGGUAAAAGUUUCUUAAAGUUGAUCAUCAAUUUUAGGUCAUUUGACAUGAUUGGAUGUUUUACUUACAUGAUAUUGGUUAGUGUGGCGGUGGAUUCCAUUUUGAUUAAUUGAGUUAAUUGCAAGAGAAAUUACCUAGAGAGGACCACCUUAAGCCUAUACUUAAUUACUUUCUUUUGUGUGGCAUGUACUUACAACAAUUGAAACUCUAGAACUUGUUUUGCUUCUUUUCAAAAUCACAAAGACAUAUGUAUGCAUGAAAAUAAAGGAUAUUUGUCAUUCUUGUUUCAUCAUAAUUUCCAAUCUCUUUCCCACAAAUUUUCUUGAAAUAUUUUCAUCUAGCAUUCUAAUCCUUGAUCAUUUUUGCUUGUCAUUUAUUGAGAGUUUUGGUUGAAUUCUUGAUGAGUUGGAUUGACUAGAUGGACAACGAUUAAGUGUGGGGGAGGAAUUGUAUAUACUUGAGAUUCAUUGAUGGUUGCAUUGCUUGAGGUUAAAGGAUGUUGAACAAUUUUGGGCAAAAUUUUCAUUUCUUAUUUCAGUUAGUUUGAAAUCUGAGAAGUGCUGAUGAAAUGCAUUAGAUUGAAUUAUUUUGUGCCAAAUAUUAUUCACUAAAUUCUCUAUUAGUUGUGAUCAACAUUUUAGUCCAAGGAAUUGAGAGAGUAGCAAAUUCUGAAGCUUGGAGUUUGGAGCAGAAUUUGAGGUUGGUUUGCUGAAGAAGGAAUUUUACAGCAACACUGAGAUUGAAUUGUAUGAACUGGUAUCACUGAAUUUUGUUAAUCAGUUGGUGAGAAGACGUAUAGUUCUGAAUUUCAGUGUUGUGUAGCUAUGGGUGAUACAUUGGCUUCAUUUGAACAAACAAUAGCUAACACAUCAUAAAGAUCCUGAUUUUGAUUGGCUAUUGUUGCCAAUGAAUUCAGAAACCAAUUUAUCAUGCUAUUCCUGAUUAGAACACAAACUGAAACUCAAUUUUUGUUAUCUCUGAAUUUGGAAUUAAGAGUUCUCAACACACAUGCACUGUGCCAAUUUUAAAUGCUAAAAUUUACAGGAAAACAAUUUCAUGUUAUUAUUGGUUAAAAUCAGCAUUAGGUCAUUAGAAAUGAACUCUGAAAUAACAGAGAAGAAGUAACAGAGAAGCUGAUCAGAAUUAGAUUGUUGUUCAAUAUCUGGAAGGGAGUAACCAAGAUAGCAUUAUGUGGCAAUGUGUGUACCAAAAAAUCAGAACUUAGCUAUCAGAUUCAAUUCUGAAAAACACUUCUGUUGAAUUCAUUAGAAGUAGAGCUUAAAUUUUAUUUCUAUAGUAAUGAAUUCUGAAGGAAUUCCAAGUUGUUUCAAUUCAUGAAUGGAUUCGGAGUUCAACCAAUUAGCGGUGGAUCUGCAACAGCAAUAAUUCGAAUUACAACUCAUAACUUUCUAGUAACCAAGCUGAGAUGACCUUGAAUUCCAGGUAUGAGACUGAAAUUUGAAAUCAAAAUUCUGAGGCAAUUUCAUUUCUGAAAUUAUUUCUUGGCAUAAUUCCUGAAUCUGAAUUUAAAAAUCAAGGAUUGGAAUUGAUUGAAGCUGAGUUGUUACCUCAUUAAAUUGAUAUACCAAGCAAUCAAAUGUUGAAUGGUAUUGGUUUGUUUAACAGAAUUGUUUAUUAGAUAAGCUGGAAUUGCUUCAACUUUUGAAUUCUGAAAUUUGAGUCCAAGGUUCCGUUGGAAGAAAAGAAUAGACGAAUCUGUUUUGCUGAUACUCAAGUAGGACAUUUCAAUUUUUGUGUGCCAAGUUGAUUACAGGUUAUUAACCAGAAUUCAAAACCAAUUGAAUUCUUUGAGUUCUACUUGACAUUUGAAAUGCUGAAACUUAAGGUUUGAUGUUGAACCAGGUUGCUGAGUUCUGAAACUUUCUUUGGCAGCAUUAAUUCUUUGACAAACAGAUUCUUUCCUACAUUUCAACAAAGAGAUCAAAUACAGCAAGAACUCAAAGAAUUAUGGAAUUCGGAGCUCUCUUAAAUCUAGAUAUUCUGAAUGGAAUUUUGAAUUCUGAAUUUGUGAGAGUUAUUUGGAAUAAGUGUGAUUGAUUCAUAUGGUGCCAGAAUCACAUGUAACAUUUUCAUAGUUCCUGCAAUUCUAUAAUUACUGCAGACAAAGAAACAAGAGCCAAUUACACUUGAGGCCCAGAAAAAAAGCAAUCAAGCUGUGAAUGAAUGUAUCAAUUUAAGUUUCUAGUGUACUAAUUUGAGAAUCUGAAUUAUGUUACUGCUGGAGCCUGUUGGUGCUUAAGUAGAUUGCAGUGAUAAAGAGCAAAAGAAUGAAGGAACAGAAAUGCUAUUAGGUUGUUAGAAUUCAGAAAAAAAUAUCAAGACUGAACAGAGCUAUUGAAUUUAGUUAUUUUCCUGCUGAUUGUUGUGUCUUAGAAAGCUCUGAAGUGGAAAUUAAGUUGCAUUUGCUGGAGAAGUUGAACUUCAAUUCCUAAAAGUCUCAUUGCCAUUUUUAGAUGUGCAAGAAACAAAAGUUAUAAAAGUUUCAGAAAACAAAAAGAUGAGAAAUAUAAUGUUGCAUUCUUUCUAUCACCUACUAUUUGGAAAUAAGAUUUCAGAUUAAACCUCAAUUGUGUUUCUUUAACUUUAAUUUGUAUUUGUGGUGGAGAGAAGAAAGCUCUGAGCUGCUUAUUAUUUGAAGUACGCAUCAUGACUUAGAGGAUUUUUGAAUUAGAUUUCAGAAUUCAGUAAAGGAAUUCUGUUAAUGUCGGAUCAAGUUCUGAAAUUUUUGGUCAAAUAACUUAGUUGGUUUCUGUAAUUCUGACCAAGAUGUUUAAUGAUUUUAUGAUCCUACAAUUGGAAGAAUUAGUAACUUGACAACCAUUCUGAUUUCUAUAUUUUCAAUUGAAGUUAAAUUUCUGAAAAUGCUGAGCUGGAUUUGGUACUGCAUUACACAUCUGAAAUAGUUGGAAACUUGGAUUGGAUUGAGUUUCAUUGUCCGAGAAGGCCAAAAUUUUAAGUGUGGAGGAGGGAAUUCUUCUUCAUAAGUUGAUGAGAGAUUGUUUUAGUUUUUAGUGCUGGUAUUGAAGUGGAAAAAAACAGUGAAAGAAAAAAAUCAGUGGCAAGACUAAGUGUAUCAAGUGUGAAGAUAGAGUAUCAAGAUUUUUGGAUGACCAUCAAAUUGAAAGAGAGGUUAGCUUGAUCUUUUGAAUUGGUAAUGACAAAUGGUAUUCAUAUCUUUUCACAUCAAAUUGGUCAACUCAUCAAGCAUCGAAAGGGUCAUGGACCCGAUCAGAUCAGACCACAUUUGGGGUCAAAUCUAGGACUAAACAAGACGAUCAAGUCUUGGAGUGAUCUGGACCGUUCAUUGAAGACCGGAGAGAUCUGAACCAUCCGUCAAGGAUCUGGUCCAUCCAAGCCAAGAGGAAGUAGAUCUCAGCCAUAGAUGAAGAUCUAAAGGUUUUGAUUCCGAUCUGAGAAGUUUGAACCGUUGAUCAAGAUUGAAGAAUCCUGGAUUGUCCGAUCAGAGAGGGAGUUGUUUUAAAAGAUGAGAAGCUACAGUGCAAACGCAAGCUCGGGCUUUUUCUUUCUCUUCGCGAUUUUCUCCACUGUUCAUCUUCUUCCCCGAAGCUCCCAUCAACAUUGAGACCAGGGUUCAAGAUCUGUCAUCACCGGCGGCAUUCGGAGUGACAGGCAAUCAUUGUCCGAGUAUCAGAUCGCGAGAGAGGGAGGUUCUUCUGCCGUGAUCCUUGCACUUCACACUCACUAGACGAGCUCAGAUUGGGGGUGUUUUUCCUAUAUGAGGGAUUCUAUCAGGCAACAGAAGUUUCAGAGAAGUUUUUCCAGAGUUUCUACUUCCAAUUCAUUUCUCAAUUCGCUCGCGACUUCACAAUCGAUCUGAUCAAUCGAUUGACGAUCGCGAUUCGUUCGUCUUUCCCUGUUAUUCGGGCAAUGAGCUUUUGAUGAGAUCGUAAGCUUGUAGGGAGGUUUCUACCAGCUGCGCACUUCUUAAUUUUCAACCGAGGAUCUAAAUUAAUCUGGUGAUUGCUCACGGGAGUUUUCGAGAGUUUUUCUACAAAUUGGCAGAGAGACAAGUUACGAACACUGAUUUGAGUUGUGGAUGUUCCUUCAUCUGAAUUUUAGUUUCGAUUAUUAGAUCUAUUGCUUAGAUUUGUUUUUUCUUUUCAAUUCGACAAAACCCAGAACUAAUUCUGCUCUAUUGGAUUUCAUUUCAGAGUAAUCAGAAAUAAGAGUUAAGGAUUUCAAUUCA